rnacentral:sRNA from 1 species
UAAAUAAAUAGGAUAAUAUCCAGCAUACGUAUAGGCGUGCCGGAAAAUAACGGAAUUAUAUCGAAAUGGUAUAUCCCCGUUGUUAAUAUGUUUUUGGCAAUGGUAUUUCCAUUUUUGUUUAUUUAUAACCCAAUAAUUGUAUAGGAAACAAAAUUUGGCGAAUUUAUAAUCGGUUUUAAAACGUUUUUCAAAAUAUCUGUCACGUGCAGACUUAUUAGUGCCUAGAUGCUAGCGUACAGCCCUAGGGGCUGGGUUUUGCUAAACCUAUAGACUCGCGUUACGUAAACGCAGUAGGAACGCCGUUUAUAAAUAGGGGCUCCUAGAUCCUAAGGAUAGCAGGUUAGUCCUGAAUCCUUAAAAAUUAAUCUCUAGUCCAAAUACUAUUAUUAUAAUGCUAUCGUGGAUUAUUAUACGCUAUAUUAUUACCCUAUAUCUUAUUAAUUACCGUGUACCUAACCUGUACCCAGUCCCCGGUUGUAACAAUUCUAAUUCUUCUUGUUGGGCUACUUACACGAUAACCGACAAUAACCCAGGCGAGUCGUCAGAGGUUACUGAGCCUGUGGUCGACCUCGACGUUAAAAAAGAGAAGAUACGCCAGUUAAAACGUUAUAAAAAGCUUAUAUAAAAAAAGCUGGAUCUCCAACGGGAGAUUAAAAAACUUUAAAAACAAUUCCAACUUUUUACCCAAAGGAAACGUCAGUUUUUUAAAAAUAAAAGGAAAGGGGAAAUUAAAAAUCCCCAUCCUUUUAUCCUGGAAUUUAAUUUAUUAUGGAAACAACGAAAUAAUUGGUUAUUACAAAUAUAACAAAUAUUUAAGGCAGCACCCAAGAAAUAUUAUAUAAAGGAACGCAAGGUUUUUUACGGGUUUUUAACCCUAUCGACUGCGUUUCGAAACCGUUAUAAUAUUUACAUUUUGGGGCUCCCAAAAAACGAGCGUGCCGCUGCCGAGGUUAAUUGGAGCAGUUUCGUUGAAUGGAUAAAAACGCUCAUUAAAAUCAACAAAACCAAAAAAAAAGACGCCACGCUAAAAUUGGAACAAAUUAAACAUUUUAUGGAAUAAUUUCCUUUUAAUUUCCAUAUUUAUCUUCUGAAUUUAAAAUCCUAUAUGGAUAAGGAAACCGAAAAAAAUCGUUUUUUACGGUUUUUUAACAAAUUGGCACCUGAGCUGAGGAAACAUCUUAAUACCUAUUGUGGUAUUAUACCGUUUACCCGAGAUAAAACGGUGGUUUGGGUAUAAAAACAUUGGAACAAUAUCAAAAGGCGAAAACGAGGCGCUAAAAGCAAUUUAGCAGGAUAAUCCUCCAGCAAAAAAACCAAAAAAACCGAGAAAAAUGGGAACGGAAAGGACGGGGAAUCGCAAAUUACCCAAAAUAACUCCUCCCAACGCAAAGGCAAAGGUAAAGCCAAAAGAGGUAACGGAAAUUCCGGCGGAGAUCGGACAAAACGCAAACCCAACGAAAAAGGGAAACGCAAAUCCGGGGGGUCCGACAACUUUAAACAUUGGAAAAAUCGAAAAAAUAAGGCCAUUGGAAAACCAAUCCGGUAUUACCGUUGCGAUAAUAACACGCACCUCGUUUAUUAAUAUCCCGAAAAGGUUUCGGGGUUAGGUAAAUAAUAGACCAAGAUUUCGGAUUAAUCCAAAACCAAAAAGGAGACCAAAAUUCAGAUGGUUAAAGGUAAAAAUACGCAAAAUAACCCCUUUAGAAAACCUAUUAUUACACCCAGCAAACCUAAUACCCCAACCUUACCCCAACGUCCCAUAUUUCAAACCCCGGCUCGUCUAUUAAAUUUACCUGGAAUUAUUGCCCAGGUGGCCAUAAAUACGGGUGCAAAGGUUAAUUUAAUUAAUAAAACCUUUGCGUUAUAAUAUUAAUUACCCUUGCAAAUAUGCAAAACACCAAUUAUUAUUGGUGUGGGACAGGACGAAAUUACCACCAAAAAAAUUUACCUUGUACAAUUAUAAAUUAUUAACUUUCGAGGCAUUUUUAGGAAAAUAAAACGUUUAUAUAUUGCGAUAUAAAAAACAAAAGGAGACCCUCCUAUUAUCUGGGAAAGGCCGGUUUUGGUAAACGAAAAUAUUAUUAUAAAUAACUCCACGCACCAAUAGUGGUUUGAAAUAACAAAAAAGAAUUUUCAAAUGUGCAACAACGCCAAAAAAUUCUUAUAUUCGGUUAGGGGGCAUAUACGGAUUUAUACCGUUACCCUAACGAAUUAUUUGCUUCCCGCCUUACCCGACAAAAAUAAGGAAAAGGACCCUCCUCCCAAACGAAAAAUUACCCUACCGCAGAAAUAUAAGGAUUACCAAAAUGUUUUUUCAAAAUAGGUAAUUAAGGGUGUACCUAUUAAUAUUAAUGCAAUUUAUCCCAUUAAUUUAAUCGAGGGGAAAAUACCUCCGCAUUUGCCCAUUUAUCCUCUAUUACCAAAGGAAUUGGCCGAACUACAAGAAUAUAUUAAAAAAAACCUGAAACUUAAACGUAU